CGGGGCCCCGCCCCCGAGUGACCACGCCUCCCCGGUGCCCGUCCCGCCCCCUGCCAGCUCCGCUGGCCAAUCGCCCUGGCUGACCUCGCGGUGACGCGCGGAGGCGCGACCCGGAAGCCACCCAGCGCGCGUCUCCAGGAAGGCCCCACCCUCUCCUCGCGGCCGCCGGCGUCGGAAUCCGUUGGAGCUCUGCGCCUCCGACUGCCGGCGUCCAGGUCUGGUGGGCGGUGGGCUCCCUGCUGCGGGCGCCCGAGCUUCCCCGAGACUCGCAGGCUCAGGCUACAGCUUCUCUCGCGGAGUUUGCAGUUUCGUGCAGAAAACAGCACAUCCAGCUGCUCAGUGACUUUGAGACAAAGAUUGGAGGACUUUCUCCAAUCCAUAUCCAAUCUUCACAUCAACCCCAUGAGGAAACCGAGGCACAGCGAGUAGCAGUGAUGGCGGCAUUACACUGGGAUGCCUGAUUACUGAGACAGUUCUCCUAACUGCUAAGUUUCUGUGAGGGGCCAUGCAGUUCAACAACGGCUUCCCAAGAGAAGUCCUAUCAAGUGCUGGGUGAGGACGAGUAAUGAAUACGCCCAGGCCUACCCUCCAAGUCUAGUGAGGGAGAAACACAGAAAUUCAGUGACAGGUGCUUGAAGGGGUUUGGACCGGGUGGGGCUGGCUGGGGAAGAUCCCGUCCUGGAGAUGGUGUUUAAAGCGGUCCUUGAGGAGGUAAGAUGUCAGCAGCCUGAGAUGGGGUCCGAACGGACCGGUGCCAGCAAAGACUUGGAGGCAGGAAAGCGUUGAAUCCUCACAAGCUUAGGUUCUCAGACUGAAACAGCCCUCAGAGGUCGCCCGGUGCAGCCCCCAUGGCAAGGUGCUCCCUGCUUCCCGAGCAGCUGGAGAGACGUCAUCUGGGAGCCCCUCCCUUGAUGGGCCACAGGUUCCAGAACUGCUCAUAGAUGUUCUGGCAUUCCUCCAACAUGCAGGCCAGUGUCCCCUGGACAAGCCCCUUUGUCCUGUGCUGGCAUUUAGGAGCGCCCAGACGUGCCAUCAGCAAGGCAUGUUGGGACCAAGGUAUGCUUGCCACUCAGGAGAAGGAUCUGGAAGGUGUGUCCUUGUUUGUGACUACAGCACUACCCCGUCCAGGGGUGCUGUACUCUACAAAAUGGUUUUAAUCAAGGUGGUGGCCUUUAAAUUAAUAAAUCAGCAAAAUACAUUAUAUUUAUUCACAUGCUAAA